rnacentral:rRNA from 2 species
GUGUUGUAGGUGUUUAUGGGCGUUCGGUGGAUGCCUGGGUACCAGGGGCCGAGGAAGGACGUUGCGGCCUGCGAUAUGCCUCGGGGAGUCGGCGAGCGGGUGUUGAUCCGAGGGUGUCCGAAUGGGGUAACCUGGCCGGGGUUGUGCCUGGUCGUUCGUGUCUGAAUGUAUAGGGCGCGGAUGGGUACGCGGGGAAGUGAAACAUCUUAGUACCCGUAGGAAGAGAUAUUCCGUGAGUAGUGGUGAGCGAAAGCGGAUGGUGGCCUAAACUGUGCGUGUGUGAGAGUCGUCGGGCGUUGCGCGUGCGGGGUUGUGGGGCGUGGCUGUUGUUCCUCCGACGGGGGGCUGCGUGUUGAUGCUGGGGUAGUCGAAGGGUCUGGGAAGGCCUGCCGGAGAGGGUGAGAGCCCCGUAGGUGAAAUCCUGGUGUUGCGUGUUGGUUGCGUUCCCGAGUAGCACGGGGCUCGUGGAAUCUCGUGUGAAUCUGGCAAGACCACUUGUCAUGGCUGAAUACUCCUGGUGACCGAUAGUGGAUAGUACCGUGAGGGAAUGGUGAAAAGUACCCGGGAGGGGAGUGAAAUAGUGCCUGAAACCGGGCGCCUACAAUCCGUCAGAGCCCUUUUUUGUGGGGGUGAUGGCGUGCCUUUUGAAGAAUGAGCCUGCGAGUUAGUGAUGCGUGGCGAGGUUAACCCGUGUGGGGUAGUCGUAGCGAAAGCGAGUCUGAAGAGGGCGUGAGUCGCGUGUUCUAGACCCGAAGCGGGGUGAUCUACCCAUGGCCAGGGUGAAGCUCGUGUAAGAGCGUGUGGAGGCCCGAACCCACCAGGGUUGAAAACCUGGGGGAUGAGUUGUGGGUAGGGGUGAAAGGCCAAUCAAACUCCGUGAUAGCUGGUUCUCCCCGAAAUGUAUUUAGGUACAGCGUUGCGUGGUUCCUUGUGGAGGUAGAGCGACUGGGUGGCUGAUGGGCCUGACAGGGUUACUGAGGUCAGCCAAACUCCGAAUGCUGCAAGGGUUGAGCGUGGCAGUGAGACGGCGGGGGAUAAGCUUCGUUGUCGAGAGGGAAACAGCCCAGAUCGUCGGUUAAGGUCCCGAAGUGUGUGCUAAGUGGGAAAGGAUGUGGGGUUGCUGUGACAGCCAGGAGGUUGGCUUAGAAGCAGCCAUCCUUGAAAGAGUGCGUAAUAGCUCACUGGUCGAGUGGUUCUGCGCCGAUAAUGUAGCGGGGCUUAAGCACACCACCGAAGCCGCGGAUGCCCAGCGUGUUCCCGGGCCUGCCUUGGGGUGGGUUGAGGGGUUGGGUGUGGUAGGGGAGCGUUCUGCGUGGGGUGAAGCUGCCGGGUGACUGUGUGGUGGACUGCGUGGGAGUGAGAAUGCAGGCAUGAGUAACGAGAGACGGGUGGGAAUCCCGUCCGCUGAUUGACUAAGGGUUCCAGGGCUAGGUUGUUCCGCCCUGGGUUAGUCGGGUCCUAAGGCGAGGCCGACAGGCGUAGUCGAUGGGUGACCAGUUGAUAUUCUGGUACCGGCGAAGAACCGUCCAUGUGGGUGUGGGUGAUGCUAACCAUCCCGGAUCGCGCGGUCGUCUUUCGGGGCGGGUGUGUGUGAUGGCGUGGGGUCCGAGCCUGCUUCUGCAAGCGUGUUAACAGGUGUGACGCAGAGUGGUAGUCCCGCGUGCCUUAUGGCUUGGCAUGUUUAAGGGUGUGGGUCGUUCCUUUGGUAAAUCCGGGGGGCAUGUGACUGAGGCCUGAUGAUGGCAUCCCGUUGUGGGGUGGAUAUGGGGUGAUCCUGUGCUGCCGAGAAAAGCAUCGACGCGAGGUUUGAGCCGCCCGUACCCGAAACCGACACAGGUGGUCAGGUAGAGUAUACCGAGGCGUGCGAGUGAAUCGUGGUUAAGGAACUCGGCAAAAUGCCCCCGUAACUUCGGGAGAAGGGGGGCCCGUGUCUUGACAUCCCCGUGCGGGGUGGAGGGGUGUGGGUCGCAGAGAAGAGGGAGAAGCGACUGUUUAUCAAAAACACAGGUCCGUGCGAAGCCGUAAGGCGAUGUAUACGGACUGACGCCUGCCCGGUGCUGGAAGGUUAAGCGGACUGGUUAGCUCCUCUGUGUGGGGGGUGACGCUAGGAAGUUAAGCCCCAGUAAACGGCGGUGGUAACUAUAACCAUCCUAAGGUAGCGAAAUUCCUUGUCGGGUAAGUUCCGACCUGCACGAAUGGCGUAACGACUUCUCCGCUGUCUCGACCACGAGCUCGGUGAAAUUGCAGUACGAGUAAAGAUGCUCGUUUCGCGCAGCAGGACGGAAAGACCCCGGGACCUUUACUAUAGCUUGGUAUUGGUGUGUGGUGCGGUUUGUGUAGGAUAGGUGGGAGGCUGUGAAGCUGUCACGCUAGUGGUGGUGGAGUCGUUGGUGAAAUACCACUCUGGUCGUAGCGCGCAUCUAACUGUGGUCCGUGAUCCGGGCCCGGGACAGUGCCUGGUGGGUAGUUUAACUGGGGCGGUUGCCUCCUAAAGGGUAACGGAGGCGCUCAAAGGUUCCCUCAGCCUGGUUGGCAAUCAGGUGGUGAGUGUAAGUGCACAAGGGGGCUUGACUGUGAGACUGACGGGUCGAGCAGGGACGAAAGUCGGAACUAGUGAUCCGGCGGUGGCUUGUGGAAGCGCCGUCGCUCAACGGAUAAAAGGUACCCCGGGGAUAACAGGCUGAUCUUGCCCAAGAGUUCAUAUCGACGGCAUGGUUUGGCACCUCGAUGUCGGCUCGUCGCAUCCUGGGGCUGGAGUAGGUCCCAAGGGUUGGGCUGUUCGCCCAUUAAAGCGGUACGCGAGCUGGGUUCAGAACGUCGUGAGACAGUUCGGUCCCUAUCCGCUGCGCGCGUUGGAGAAUUGAGAAGGGCUGUCCCUAGUACGAGAGGACCGGGACGGACGGACCGCUGGUGUGCCAGUUGUCCCGCCAGGGGCAUGGCUGGUUGGCUACGUUCGGAAGGGAUAACCGCUGAAAGCAUCUAAGCGGGAAGCCUGCUUCAAGAUGAGUUCUCGAUCCAUGCUCUCUUGAGGGUGUGGGGGAGGUCCCCGGAGAUGACGGGGUUGAUAGGCCGGAUGUGGAAGCCUUGUAAGGGGUGGAGCUGACCGGUACUAAUGACCGAUGACCUAUAACAC